CCUGGUGGCUCAGAUGGUAGAGUAGUCUGCUUGCAAUGCAGGAGACCCGGGUUCAAUCCCUGGGUCAGGA
rnacentral:tRNA from 1 species